rnacentral:rRNA from 1 species
GACGAACGCUGGCGGCGUGCUUAACACAUGCAAGUCGAACGGAAAGGCCCUGCUUUUGUGGGGUGCUCGAGUGGCGAACGGGUGAGUAACACGUGAGUAACCUGCCCUUGACUUUGGGAUAACUUCAGGAAACUGGGGCUAAUACCGGAUAGGAGCUCCUGCUGCAUGGGGGGGGUUGGAAAGUUUCGGCGGUUGGGGCUGGACUCGCGGCUUAUCAGCUUGUUGGGGGGGUAGUGGCUUACCAAGGCUUUGACGGGUAGCCGGCCUGAGAGGGUGACCGGCCACCUUGGGCCUGAGAUACGGCCCAGACUCCUACGGGAGGCAGCAGUGGGGAAUAUUGCACAAUGGGCGGAAGCCUGAUGCAGCAACGCCGCGUGCGGGAUGACGGCCUUCGGGUUGUAAACCGCUUUCGCCUGUGACGAAGCGUGAGUGACGGUAAUGGGUAAAGAAGCACCGGCUAACUACGUG